AGCCAUUAGGCAAGCACAGAGUGAACCGUUCUUUUUCCUUUAAUUAAAGACUAUUGUGUGCUUGCCACUUAUAGUGGCAUACACUAAUUUUUGGAAGGUCUUCUAAAAAAACACCU